rnacentral:lncRNA from 1 species
GGAAGGAGACAGGGAUACUGGAGUGAUGGAGGUAGAUAUGUAUAGGGGACAGGGAUACUGGAGUGAUGGAGGUAGAUGUGUAUAGGGGACAGGGAUACUGGAGUGAUGGAGGUAGAUGUGUAUAGGGGACAGGGAUACUGGAGUGAUGGAGGUAGAUAUGUAUAGGGGGAAGGAGACAGGGAUACUGGAGUGAUGGAGGUAGAUAUGUAUAGGGGACAGGGAUACUGGAGUGAUGGAGGUAGAUGUGUAUAGGGGACAGGGAUACUGGAGUGAUGGAGGUAGAUAUGUAUAGGGGGAAGGGGACAGGGAUACUGGAGUGAUGGAGGUAGAUAUGUAUAGGGGGAAGGAGACAGGGAUACUGGAGUGAUGGAGGUAGAUAUGUAUAGGGGACAGGGAUACUGGAGUGAUGGAGGUAGAUAUGUAUAGGGGACAGGGAUACUGGAGUGAUGGAGGUAGAUACAGUG